rnacentral:rRNA from 1 species
AUUGAACGCUGGCGGCAUGCUUUACACAUGCAAGUCGAACGGUAGAGGGGGCAACCCCUUGAGAGUGGCGAACGGGUGAGUAAUGCAUCGGAACGUGCCCAGUCGUGGGGGAUAACGCAGCGAAAGCUGUGCUAAUACCGCAUACGAUCUCUGGAUGAAAGCGGGGGACCGAAAGGCCUCGCGCGAUUGGAGCGGCCGAUGUCAGAUUAGGUAGUUGGUGGGGUAAAGGCCUACCAAGCCAACGAUCUGUAGCUGGUCUGAGAGGACGACCAGCCACACUGGGACUGAGACACGGCCCAGACUCCUACGGGAGGCAGCAGUGGGGAAUUUUGGACAAUGGGCGCAAGCCUGAUCCAGCAAUGCCGCGUGCAGGAAGAAGGCCUUCGGGUUGUAAACUGCUUUUGUACGGAACGAAACGGUCUGGGUUAAUACCCUGGGCUAAUGACGGUACCGUAAGAAUAAGCACCGGCUAACUACGUGCCAGCAGCCGCGGUAACAC